rnacentral:rRNA from 1 species
UACGGAGGAUGCAAGCGUUAUCCGGAAUGAUUGGGCGUAAAGGGUCCGCAGGUGGCAAUGUAAGUCUGCUGUCAAAGAAUGAGGCUUAACCUCAUCAAGGCAGUGGAAACUACGUAGCUAGAGUACGGUCGGGGUAGAAGGAAUUCCUGGUGUAGCGGUGAAAUGCGUAGAGAUCAGGAGGAACACCUGAGGUGAAGACGGGUUGCUGGGCUGACACUGACGCUGAGGCGCGAAAGCCAGGGGAGCAAACGGG